rnacentral:rRNA from 1 species
AUUGAACGCUGGCGGCAGGCCUAACACAUGCAAGUCGAGCGGAUGAAGGGAGCUUGCUCCUGGAUUCAGCGGCGGACGGGUGAGUAAUGCCUAGGAAUCUGCCUGGUAGUGGGGGAUAACGUCCGGAAACGGGCGCUAAUACCGCAUACGUCCUGAGGGAGAAAGUGGGGGAUCUUCGGACCUCACGCUAUCAGAUGAGCCCAGGUCGGAUUAGCUAGUUGGUGGGGUAAAGGCCUACCAAGGCGACGAUCCGUAACUGGUCUGAGAGGAUGAUCAGUCACACUGGAACUGAGACACGGUCCAGACUCCUACGGGAGGCAGCAGUGGGGAAUAUUGGACAAUGGGCGAAAGCCUGAUCCAGUCAUGCCGAGUGUGUGAAGAAGGUCUUCGGAUUGUAAAGCACUUUAAGUUGGGAGGAAGGGCAGUAAGUUAAUACCUUGCUGUUUUGACGUUACCAACAGAAUAAGCACCGGCUAACUUCGUG